rnacentral:rRNA from 1 species
AUUGAACGCUGGCGGCAGGCUUAACACAUGCAAGUCGAACGAUGAUUUCCCAGCUUGCUGGGAAUGAUUAGUGGCGGACGGGUGAGUAACAUUUAGGAAUCUGCCUAGUAGUGGGGGAUAGCUCGGGGAAACUCGAAUUAAUACCGCAUACGACCUACGGGUGAAAGGGGGCGCAAGCUCUUGCUAUUAGAUGAGCCUAAAUCAGAUUAGCUAGUUGGUGGGGUAAAGGCCCACCAAGGCGACGAUCUGUAACUGGUCUGAGAGGAUGAUCAGUCACACCGGAACUGAGACACGGUCCGGACUCCUACGGGAGGCAGCAGUGGGGAAUAUUGGACAAUGGGGGCAACCCUGAUCCAGCCAUGCCGCGUGUGUGAAGAAGGCCUUUUGGUUGUAAAGCACUUUAAGCAGGGAGGAGAGGCUAAUGGUUAAUACCCAUUAGAUUAGACGUUACCUGCAGAAUAAGCACCGGCUAACUCUGUGCCAGCAGCCGCGGUAAUACAGAGGGUGCGAGCGUUAAUCGGAAUUACUGGGCGUAAAGCGAGUGUAGGUGGCUCAUUAAGUCACAUGUGAAAUCCCCGGGCUUAACCUGGGAACUGCAUGUGAUACUGGUGGUGCUAGAAUAUGUGAGAGGGAAGUAGAAUUCCAGGUGUAGCGGUGAAAUGCGUAGAGAUCUGGAGGAAUACCGAUGGCGAAGGCAGCUUCCUGGCAUAAUACUGACACUGAGAUUCGAAAGCGUGGGUAGCAAACAGGAUUAGAUACCCUGGUAGUCCACGCCGUAAACGAUGUCUACUAGCCGUUGGGGUCCUUGAGACUUUAGUGGCGCAGUUAACGCGAUAAGUAGACCGCCUGGGGAGUACGGCCGCAAGGUUAAAACUCAAAUGAAUUGACGGGGGCCCGCACAAGCGGUGGAGCAUGUGGUUUAAUUCGAUGCAACGCGAAGAACCCUACCUGGUCUUGACAUAGUGAGAAUCUCUCAGAGAUGAGAGAGUGCCUUCGGGAACUCACAUACAGGUGCUGCAUGGCUGUCGUCAGCUCGUGUCGUGAGAUGUUGGGUUAAGUCCCGCAACGAGCGCAACCCUUUUCCUUAUUUGCCAGCGGGUUAAGCCGGGAACUUUAAGGAUACUGCCAGUGACAAACUGGAGGAAGGCGGGGACGACGUCAAGUCAUCAUGGCCCUUACGACCAGGGCUACACACGUGCUACAAUGGUAGGUACAGAGGGUUGCUACACAGCGAUGUGAUGCUAAUCUCAAAAAGCCUAUCGUAGUCCGGAUUGGAGUCUGCAACUCGACUCCAUGAAGUCGGAAUCGCUAGUAAUCGCGGAUCAGAAUGCCGCGGUGAAUACGUUCCCGGGCCU